rnacentral:tRNA from 1 species
GCCUCGGUGGCGCAGCCGGUAGCGCGUAAGCCUUUUCUUUUCAAAAGAAAAGCCUUAAGGGAAAAGAAAGGGCUGUGCAGUUGCUUGGUAAGCAAGAGGUCGUGGGUUCGAAUCCCACCCGAGGCU